rnacentral:rRNA from 1 species
UACGUGGGGCGCAAGCGUUGUCCGGAAUUAUUGGGCGUAAAGAGCUCGUAGGUGGCUUGUCGCGUCUGCCGUGAAAGCUCAUGGCUUAACUGUGGGUCUGCGGUGGAUACGGGCUGGCUAGAGGUAGGCAGGGGCAAGUGGAAUUCCUGGUGUAGCGGUGAAAUGCGCAGAUAUCAGGAAGAACACCCGUGGCGAAGGCGGCUCUCUGGAACGCAACUGACGCUGAGACGCGAAAGCGUGGGGAGCAAACAGG